UACGUAGGUCCCGAGCGUUGUCCGGAUUUAUUGGGCGUAAAGCGAGCGCAGGUGGUUUAUUAAGUCUGGUGUAAAAGGCAGUGGCUCAACCAUUGUAUGCAUUGGAAACUGGUAGACUUGAGUGCAGGAGAGGAGAGUGGAAUUCCAUGUGUAGCGGUGAAAUGCGUAGAUAUAUGGAGGAGCACCAGUGGCGAAAGCGGCUCUCUGGCCUGUAACUGACACUGAGGCUCGAAAGCGUGGGGAGCAAACAGG
rnacentral:rRNA from 1 species